rnacentral:lncRNA from 13 species
UCUCCUCCUGGUAUUCACAUCCUGUGAAAUCAACCCCCUCCCCCCCAACACACAUAUACAUGCCUUGGGGCUGGACCUAGUGACUUUGUUCUGAUGAAUAGAAUAAAAAUGAUGAAAUGUCACUUCCAAUAUUAGAUUAUAAAAGACUAUCUUUGGUCUGAUACUAUCUCUCUCCAGCUUUACUCUCUUGCUUAUUCUGAAGAAACAAGCUGCCUUGUUGUGAAUUACUCUAUGGAGGGAGAGACCCACAUGCUAAGGAACUGAGAGCAUGACCAUUGGGCAACAGCCCUGGACUGAAUCUUUCCAGCAACCUCUUGCAUGACCUUGGAAGAGGAUGAUUCCCCAUCCAAACCUUCAGCUGAGACUGCAGCCCUCCUGGUACCUUGAUUGUAACCUGGCUGGAGUGCAACGGAAUGAUCUCGGCUCACCGCAACCUCUACCUCCCAGCCUGGUGACAUGGUCUCAAAAGAAGAAGAAGAAGAAAAAGAAGGAGGAGGAGGAGAAGGAGAAGGAGAAGGAGAAGGAGAGGAGGAGGAGGAGGAGGAAGAAGAAGAAGAAGAAGAAGAAGAAGAAGAAGAAGAAUGGCAUAUUUGCUUUGCUCAAACUUCUCAGGCACAGCAUUUAGUCACUGACAAUAUUGCCAUGCAUGGACCCCAAAUAUCAAAAUGAAGCAU